AUUGAACGCUGGCGGAAUGCUUUACACAUGCAAGUCGAACGGCAGCACGGGGCAACCUGGUGGCGAGUGGCGAACGGGUGAGUAAUACAUCGGAACGUGCCCAAUCGUGGGGGAUAACGUAGCGAAAGUUACGCUAAUACCGCAUACGAUCUACGGAUGAAAGCGGGGGAUCGCAAGACCUCGCGCGAAUGGAGCGGCCGAUGUCAGAUUAGGUAGUUGGCGGGGUAAUGGCCCACCAAGGCAACGAUGGGUAACUGGUCUGAGAGGAUGAUCAGUCACACUGGAACUGAGACACGGUCCAGACUCCUACGGGAGGCAGCAGUAGGGAAUAUUGCACAAUGGGGGAAACCCUGAUGCAGCAACGCCGCGUGAGUGAAGAAGGCCCUUGGGUUGUAAAGCUCUUUAGCGUGGGAAGAAGGUAGAUACAGUGAAUAAUCGUGUUUGCUGACGGUACCACGAGAAUAAGCACCGGCUAAUUUCGUGCCAGCCGCCGCAGUAACAC
rnacentral:rRNA from 1 species